CGUUAGAACGCUGAACCAGAUUGAAUAUGUGAUUAGUUGAUACAAAUCCAAAAUUGAAUCUAUCUGAUAUCUCCAGCAACUUUCAUUUCUGCUCUCGAAUUCUCAGCGAAUUUGAACCUCACACAUCCCCUCUAUGAUUUGCUGUCUUGCGGGUCCCAUCUCAACAACCCUCCACUUCCAGAAUGAUUUUCCUGCUCAUCUGUCCAUGUUUUGAACCAAAUUUUCGCUUUCAAUCUCAUUACAUUUCUCUUGCACACCCUAUAAUUGCCUAAUUACUAUCGACUCAAAUCUCCUUCAAUCACCAUUUUCGAAAUUGGGUUUGUUCAUCUCGCCUUUUCCUGCACUGGGUCAGUACUGUUUUGCACUAGAAAUCCCAGUUUGAUGAACCUUUUAAAAGCCGUUAGGUCUGUUGCAUUUUUGAGGCAAUUUAUCAAGCACUAAAAUGGCGUCUAUAGGUUCAGUUCGUUUUAUUAUCGAAACCAAAACAGAAAGUUCUGUCUUUCUCCAUGGCAAAAACCAACAGCGAUCCAGAUUUCCCGUUUUCGCAUAUAGAC
rnacentral:misc_RNA from 1 species